GACGAACGCUGGCGGCGUGCUUAACACAUGCAAGUCGAACGAGACCUUCGGGUCUAGUGGCGCACGGGUGCGUAACGCGUGGGAACCUGCCCUUAGGUUCGGAAUAACUCCCCGAAAGGGGUGCUAAUACCAGAUAAUGUCUUCGGACCAAAGAUUUAUCGCCUUUGGAUGGGCCCGCGUUGGAUUAGCUAGUUGGUAGGGUAAAAGCCUACCAAGGCGACGAUCCAUAGCUGGUCUGAGAGGAUGAUCAGCCACACUGGGACUGAGACACGGCCCAGACUCCUACGGGAGGCAGCAGUGGGGAAUAUUGGACAAUGGGCGAAAGCCUGAUCCAGCAAUGCCGCGUGAGUGAUGAAGGCCUUAGGGUUGUAAAGCUCUUUUACCCGGGAUGAUAAUGACAGUACCGGGAGAAUAAGCUCCGGCUAACUCCGUG
rnacentral:rRNA from 1 species